rnacentral:rRNA from 1 species
UACGUAGGGUGCAGGCGUUAAUCGGAAUUACUGGGCGUAAAGCGUGCGCAGGCGGUCUUUUAAGUCAGAUGUGAAAUCCCCGGGCUUAACCUGGGAACUGCGUUUGAAACUGGAAGGCUAGAGUGUGGCAGAGGGGGGUGGAAUUCCCGGUGUAGCAGUGAAAUGCGUAGAGAUCGGGAGGAACACCAGUGGCGAAGGCGGCCUUCUGGACCAGUACUGACGCUCAUGCACGAAAGCGUGGGGAGCAAACAGG